UGCGCCGUACCGGAGCGGCGGGCCGGCUCGCCGUCGCGGGCGUCGGGGGAGCGCCCGCCCGUGCCGCCUCGGUCUCGGUCGUGGUGGCGCUC
rnacentral:tRNA from 2 species